rnacentral:tRNA from 1 species
GCGCUGGUAGCUCAGCGGUUAGAGCACCGUCCUUAUAAGACGGGGGUCGCUGGUUCGAAUCCAGCCCAGCGCA